ACGCAGCGGAGAAGCCGACGCUCUCAAGCGCUUAACAAAACACGAGGCUGGUCGAGGGCACCUGAUGUGCAGAAACAGCAGGGUAGGUGUUUGUUGACUCCGUGCCAAACGCCUCGCGAGCUGCUGGAGUCAAGACAUGACCGCGGGCGUUUAGCGGCGCGGUUCCCACGUUGGGACGAGCUGACGGACGUGCGGUCGACCCGGAGCGGCGAUGUCGAAAGCGCGCGGGUCCCGAUCGGCGGGGCCUUCGUAAAACUUUGUGAUGUUUCUCAAACCGCGACGUUCCCAAACUUCUCACGGGCCGCAUUCAUUCGGUACAAAGGAUCUCUGUUCUGCUCCGGUCUCCCUCAGUAGAUCCCUUUGUGAACGUAGGGCAGCAAGUCCUCCGCACUGGAAUGCCCCGUUCUCAGGGUGAGGAGGUAAAGCUCACACAGGGGAGGGGGACGCGCAAAUACGUCCACGCUCCUGCUUAUUUUUUCAAAGACGCUCAUAAUUAGAUGUAAGCAGAAGUCACACCGAGGUCAGCGCGCUUCGCUCCCUGAGAACGUCUCCCUCAAUUAAGAGCGCCGGCCUUCGGCUGUCGUUGGGGUUAACCGCCGUCCGUGAUGUUCAAUGACUUUGCCAUUUCCGUGGACGUGAAUAGAAUUAGAGAAGGGAAGGGAGCGCCCGGAGAAGGACGGCGAGGCUCGGGGUCUACAGAUGUCUGGACGGCACCGCUCGGGCUCACCCUCCAAAGGCAGCGAGCAGCUGUUGCCAGAGAGAGACAGGCUGCCUCGGAGAGAGACUGGGAGGGGGCCAAUGGACCAAAAAAAAAAAAACAAAAAAAAAAGAGAAACAACAAGAAAGAGC